rnacentral:tRNA from 2 species
GCGCCAUUAGCUCAAUUGGAUAGAGCAUUGCACUUCUAUUGCAUUGGUUGCGGGUUCAAGUCCUGCAUGGCGUGCCA